CACGUAGGGCGCGAGCGUUGUCCGGAAUUAUUGGGCGUAAAGAGCUCGUAGGCGGCCUGUUGCGUCCGCUGUGAAAGCCCGGGGCUUAACCCCGGGUCGCAGUGGAUACGGGCAGGCUAAAGGUAGGUAGGGGAGAAUGGAAUUCCCGGUGUAGCGGUGAAAUGCGCAGAUAUCAGGAGGAACACCGGUGGCGAAGGCGGUUCUCUGGGCUGACACUGACGCUCAUGCACGAAGACGUGGGGAGCAAACAGGG
rnacentral:rRNA from 1 species